rnacentral:rRNA from 1 species
GAUGAACGCUGGCGGCGUGCUUAACACAUGCAAGUCGAACGGUGAAGGCGGAGCUUGCUCUGCUGGAUCAGUGGCGAACGGGUGAGUAACACGUGAGCAAUCUACCCCUGACUCUGGGAUAAGCGCUGGAAACGGCGUCUAAUACUGGAUACGAGCUGCGAAGGCAUCUUCAGCAGCUGGAAAGAAUUUCGGUCAGGGAUGAGCUCGCGGCCUAUCAGCUUGUUGGUGAGGUAAUGGCUCACCAAGGCGUCGACGGGUAGCCGGCCUGAGAGGGUGACCGGCCACACUGGGACUGAGACACGGCCCAGACUCCUACGGGAGGCAGCAGUGGGGAAUAUUGCACAAUGGGCGAAAGCCUGAUGCAGCAACGCCGCGUGAGGGACGACGGCCUUCGGGUUGUAAACCUCUUUUAGCAGGGAAGAAGCGAAAGUGACGGUACCUGCAGAAAAAGCGCCGGCUAACUACGUG